CAUUUUGAGAUCAGUCGAGUGAACAUCUCCGACACGGCAACUACUGCUGCGCACCAUUGGUAACCAACCUCCUUCUUCAUCGUUUAACCAGUUCGCAAUCACGGUUAACUAUGACGGCGUGCUGCUGUUGGGUGUUGUAUCGUUGAUGGCUGGAUCGACCAAUGGUGUACUGAUGUCUCCUGGUUAUAGCUGAUACCAAACCGCAAUGCCGCCGCCUAACUACACAACAACUUUAACGACCAGUUACAACACCGAGGCCUGGACCGAGACCCAUAAGUACUGCACCACUAAGUCACCGAAGUAGGAUACGAUAACUUACGCUUCGCCGAGCUAUUACACCGAUCCCCCGAAUUAUUACUUUGCCUCCAGUUGCACCACCAAGUCAGCGAAAUACUACACGACUACGUAUCCUGCUUAUCUUACUACACCGAGGCUCCAGCUACUACACCGAGGCUCCAGCUACUACACCGAGGCUCCAGCUACUACACCGAGGCUCCAGCUACUACACCGAGGCUCCAGCUACUACACCGAGGCUCCAGCUACUACACCGAGGCUCCAGCUACUACACCGAGGCUCCAGCUACUACACCGAGGCUCCAGCUACACAACCACGACUGAUGCGGUCAUGGUUUACGUAGCCCCAACUUUCUACUCAACUGCUGCCCCUUCGUAUUGCGUUGAACCGAAAUACUGCACUGAAGCUUCAGUUUACUACACCGAAAAUCUGAAGUAUUACUCUGCUCAUAGUAUCUACACCACUAAGGCACCUGAAUAGUACACUAAGACAUACUCCAGAUUUCUAGAAGGAUUCUAAAUGCCAGAGCUGAUAUGAUGGAAAAUCUGUACACAUACAUAUACACAAUAUCAUAAUAGUUACUAAAGUCACUAGGAAUUGUUCUUUGAUGAGAAAAUAAAGUUUUUAAUUUGGGUAA